UCGUGUGUCGAUGAAGUGCGCAGCCAACUGUGUGAAUUAAUGUGAACUGCAUACUGCUUUGAACAUCGACAUCUUGAACGCAUAUUGCGGCCACGGGUUAGCCCGUGCCACGCCUGUCCGAGGGUCGGCUUAUAAACUAUCACGACGCCCUACAAGUCGUGGCUUGGGUUUUGCCAGCUGGCAUGAUGGCCCUAUGCUUAGCUUUACGGCUAGGUUGGGGUGCCAGAUCUGUGGCGUUUCCCUAAUGUAUCCGGACACAUCUACAUCCUUGGUUAAAGAGGGAUGAGGACGUGGCGACGGAGUCGUGGCUCAAUGGUCUAACACGCUCCGAAUCGUAAUAGUCCGUCUCUAUGGUGUGAUGUUGUCUGUUACUGAGUGCAUGCCAAUGGGUGCAUUCUAUUUCCUGACCUCGGAUCAGACGUGAUUACCCGCUGAACUUAAGCAUAUCACUAAGCG
rnacentral:rRNA from 1 species